rnacentral:rRNA from 1 species
AUUGAACGCUGGCGGAAUGCUUUACACAUGCAAGUCGAGCGGCAGCACGGGGGCAACCCUGGUGGCGAGCGGCGAACGGGUGAGUAAUACAUCGGAACAUGCCCAGUCGUGGGGGAUAACACUUCGAAAGAAGUGCUAAUACCGCAUACGUCCUGAGGGAGAAAGCGGGGGAUCUUCGGACCUCGCGCGAUGGGAGUGGCCGAUGUCAGAUUAGCUAGUGGGUGGGGUAAAGGCCGACCACGGCAACGAUCUGUAGCUGGUCUGAGAGGAUGAUCAGCCACACUGGGACUGAGACACGGCCCAGACUCCUACGGGAGGCAGCAGUGGGGAAUUUUGGACAAUGGGGGCAACCCUGAUCCAGCCAUUCCGCGUGAGUGAAGAAGGCCUUCGGGUUGUAAAGCUCUUUCGGCAGGAACGAAACGGCGAGCUCUAACAUAGCUUGCUAAUGACGGUACCUGAAGAAGAAGCACCGGCUAACUACGUGCCAGCCGCCGCCGUAACAC